CCAAAGGCUCUUUUCAGAGCCAUUUACAUAUUUGAAAGAGAACUAG
rfam:Cavia porcellus supercont2_108 genomic scaffold, whole genome shotgun sequence.